rnacentral:rRNA from 1 species
CAUUACCGAAUCGUCAAACACGGGUUGUUGCUGGCCUCCAAACGGGGGCACGUGCACGCUCUGUUUACACAUCCACUCACACCUGUGCACCCUCUGUAGUCCUAUGGUUCGGAAGACCCCGUCUUCCUUCUGUAGCUCUACGUCUUUACACACACGCUGUAGCGAUGUCUCAUGGAAUGUUUUUAUGCGUUUAACGCGAUACAAUACAACUUUCAGCAACGGAUCUCUUGGCUCUCGCAUCGAUGAAGAACGCAGCGAAAUGCGAUAAGUAAUGUGAAUUGCAGAAUUCAGUGAAUCAUCGAAUCUUUGAACGCACCUUGCGCCCCUUGGUUAUUCCUUGGAGCAUGCCUGUUUGAGUAUCAUGAACACCUCAACUCUCAUGGUCUUCCAUGAUGAGCUUGGACUUUGGGGGUUUGCUGGCCCUGCGGCCGGCUCCUCUCAAAUGAAUCAGCUUGCCAGUGUUUGGUGGCAUCACGGGUGUGAUAACUAUCUACGCUCGCGGUCGUCUGCCAGGUAACCCUCAGCGAUGAGGGUUCAUUGGAGCUCAUAAACGUCUCUCCUCGGCGAGGACAACU